CACGUAGGGGGCAAGCGUUGUCCGGAUUUAUUGGGCGUAAAGAGCUCGUAGGCGGUUCGGUAAGUUGGGUGUGAAACCUCCAGGCUCAACCUGGAGACGCCACCCAAUACUGCUGUGACUAGAGUCCGGUAGGGGAGCGUGGAAUUCCUGGUGUAGCGGUGAAAUGCGCAGAUAUCAGGAGGAACACCAGCGGCGAAGGCGGCGCUCUGGGCCGGAACUGACGCUGAGGAGCGAAAGCGUGGGUAGCAAACAGG
rnacentral:rRNA from 1 species